GUCUUUUAAAACUUACUGCCAUCUCGAUUUAUUUUAUGCAAAGUUGAUUUUACACAACUCAAAGCCGACAUUUACCUCUUCAUUUUUUUUUUUUUUAAAUAAAGGAGGGUGUCACUAUGUUACACAUGCUGGCCUCAAAUUCCUGACCUGGGUUCAAGUGAUUUUCCCAUCUCGGCCACCUGAGUAGCUGGGACUACAAGCAUGUGCCAUCUUGCCUGGCUCUCUCUUAUAUCCAUACAUUCAUUUCAAUGGAUAAGAAUAAAAGGAGAGGUAGUGACAUAGCUUAAAUGCAGCAGUUGAAUAAAUGAAUUGAUAAAUUCUUAUAAAUGAUUACAUCUUUUUUUCCUUUCUCCCUCUAUGCAUAUAGCUUUGGAGUUUAACCCUCCUGCCAAUCCAGAGGCAACCACAAUAUUCCACAGGAACUCUCAAACAGAUGUUGUAGAAAUAAGAAGAAGCAACUAUACAAACCACGUAUCUACUGUGCGUUUCAGUCAACAAUACAGCUCAUGUUCGACAAUAUUCCUUGAUGACAGCACAGCCAGCCAGCCUUAUCUUACAAUGACAAUAAUAUCGUGAGUACAACUAUACUGCCAAGGGAUGGAUUCCUUUAUUCUAAAAUUAUUUCAGUCAUUUGUUUUUCCUCUUCAGCAAUCAGUUUAAGAAAUUGGAGUCAACUAUAUAUUGAUAUCCAGAUUCUAAAUAUUAAGUAUCAAUUUCUCUUUUAAUCUUAGAUGUCUUGGUGGAAGGAAAAAUCAGCAAAGAAACAAUCCCAGAAAAAGCAUAUAUUUUUUUAAUGCCUUUAUGCCUUGAGACACGUUGAACUCAGUGAGAAGGAUACGUUCCCUUUAUUGAAUGUUUCUUUGUGAAAACUUAGUUGUUCAGUGCAUUAUAGGCCUAAAUCAGUGUGUACUACUUUCAACAUUCGACUCAGAAGAAGGAACAGCUUUUCCUCUUCUGGCACCACAGUGUAUCUGUAUUUGCAUUUCUCCCAUUGUGCAUGAGCACCUCAUGGGCUACAAAGAUGCGCUUUGAGAGCACCCUGAGAUGAAGUUUAUUUUAAAAGGAACAACAACCAACACCAGCACCAGCUCCACAGGGGCUGUCCAGUGUACAUUAUUAUCAUCUCCUGGGUCAUGAGUGUUGAUUUUGAGAACACAGUUUGGAAAGUAGUAAUUUAGAAUAUUAAUAUUUUUAUCUUUAAUUUUACUAAUCAUUCUGUAAACAUAACUAGCUUAUAAACAAUUUCGUUUCAAAUGCACUAGCCUUUUUAGCUAAUUCAAUUUUACUUCAAUAAAAGUGGCAAGUUUAUACUCAUAAUAAUGUCACUUUCCUCCCUCCCUUUUAACAAUAGUUGUGAU
rnacentral:lncRNA from 1 species